UGACCGGACAAAAAAGCCAAUCAACAUCACCUCUCUUGACUCUCACUCAUUAAAAAGUGGACACACACUAUUCAUGCACACACACUCACCUCACUAUACAGUACUCUCUCCCUCUCCUGACGCGUGAAAAAGGAAAAGACAAAAAAGAAAAAUCUCUUCCAUCUAUCCAUUCAAAAAACUCUCUCUCUCAAAAAGUAAAAAGAGAAAACAAAAGAAAAAUAAAGGGAAAAUGCAGAAGUUUUCCAUUUCCUUCCUCAAAGAAGCUCUUCACCGUCGUACUCUACCACCGUCACCGCUCCUGGCUCACAACCGCCAACGCCGAACAUCAACUGCCGCCGUGCUAAUCGUCCAUCCAAACCCCAUCCUACUUCGACGCCGGACGAACACCGCCGACAAGCCACAAUCGCCUUUCUUCUUCUCCAAAAAUGAUCUCCGACGAAAGCCACACGAUCCACCGCGCGCAACACUCCUCUCCACGGGACCGCCGUCCAAACGCCAACCUCCGACGACACCCUUCGCUCGACGGCGAACCACCCAUUCUGCCGACGGUCUCGUGCGACCAUUUUUGGGGCAUGUUGAAAUCGAAUUAGAGCCGUGAACACUCGACUAAGAUGCUGCCAUUUUCUUGGGUUUAGUCUUUGUCACUGGUGCUUAUUGUUUAUUUUUUUUGAAAUUUCGUGGUAUGAUUUAAUUGUGCAUCUUCCAUUUUUGCAAUUUAUCUGGGUGUUUGUAUCUAAGUACUGUUUCUAAUUUUCGGCAGUGUAAAUAGUUGGAUGGAAGGCGUUAUGUUUACCUACCGUAAUGAACUCAUGGCAUUGAGACCGUGAAUUUUUUAUUAGUAAAUAUCUGUCAUGCUUUUUGUUUGCUACCAAUUAUAACUUUUGCAAGUUUGAAAAGUCAAUAUAUUCAUAAGUGUUAUCAUAUUCA